rnacentral:rRNA from 1 species
GCACAAGCAGCGGAGCGUGUGGUUUAAUUCGAUGCUACACGAAGAACCUUACCAGGGUUUGACAUACAAGUAGUAGGGAAAGGAAACUGGACCGACCUUCGGGAGCUUGUACAGGUGCUGCAUGGCUGUCGUCAGCUCGUGUCGUGAGAUGUUGGGUUAAGUCCCGCAACGAGCGCAACCCUUGUCUUUAGUUGCCAUCAUUAAGUUGGGCACUCUAAAGAGACUGCCGGUGUCAAACCGGAGGAAGGUGGGAUGACGUCAAGUCCUCAUGGCCUUUAUGACCAGGGCUACACACGUACUACAAUGGCAGGUACAAAGGGCAGCCACUUAGCGAUAAGGCGCGAAUCCCAUAAAACCUGUCUCAGUCCGGAUUGGAGUCUGCAACUCGACUCCAUGAAGUUGGAAUCGCUAGUAAUCGCAGAUCAGCACGCUGCGGUGAAUACGUUCCCGGGCCUU